GGUUCCAUAGCAUAGCGGUGAGCACGCCUGCUUUACACGCAGAAGGUCCUGUGUUCGUGCCCCGGUGGAGCCA
rfam:Pteropus alecto contig4390, whole genome shotgun sequence.